GAUGAACGCUGGCGGCGUGCCUAAUACAUGCCAGUCGAGCGAACAGACGGGGAGCUUGCUCCUCUGACGUUAGCGGCGGACGGGUGAGUAACACGUGGAUAACCUACCUAUAAGACUGGGAUAACUUCGGGAAACCGGAGCUAAUACCGGAUAAUAUAUUGAACCGCAUGGUUCAAUAGUGAAAGACGGUUUUGCUGUCACUUAUAGAUGGAUCCGCGCCGCAUUAGCUAGUUGGUAAGGUAACGGCUUACCAAGGCAACGAUGCGUAGCCGACCUGAGAGGGUGAUCGGCCACACUGGAACUGAGACACGGUCCAGACUCCUACGGGAGGCAGCAGUAGGGAAUCUUCCGCAAUGGGCGAAAGCCUGACGGAGCAACGCCGCGUGAGUGAUGAAGGUCUUCGGAUCGUAAAACUCUGUUAUUAGGGAAGAACAAAUGUGUAAGUAACUAUGCACGUCUUGACGGUACCUAAUCAGAAAGCCACGGCUAACUACGUG
rnacentral:rRNA from 1 species